rnacentral:siRNA from 1 species
GAUACAAUCUGUUAAAGAAGUUGC